rnacentral:lncRNA from 1 species
CUUCACUACUCCUAGAAGUUCUCUGCUCUCCACAUAUUUUAGCAUGGGCAGGCCAUCCCCCUCUAUGCCCUUGGGAACCUUUGAUGUUAGGAAACAUGUAUAUAGCUGAGCUCAUUUGGAAAAGCCAUAAGUCAUGAGAGAACUGAAGGUCUCCACAGGUGAGGUGACUGCUCAUCUUUAUCCCCACAGAACCUCUGGUGAGCUUUGAAUAGGUGGUGAAGGGGACUUGUGUAGUCAACAGCACAAGCA